CAGCAGUCGCCGCGGUAAUACGUAGGGUGCGAGCGUUAAUCGGAAUUACUGGGCGUAAGGCGUGCGCAGGCGGUUAUAUAAGACAGAUGUGAAAUCCCCGGGCUCAACCUGGGACCUGCAUUUGUGACUGUGUAGCUAGAGUACGGUAGAGGGGGAUGGAAUUCCGCGUGUAGCAGUGAAAUGCGUAGAUAUGCGGAGGAACACCGAUGGCGAAGGCAAUCCCCUGGACCUGUACUGACGCUCAUGCACGAAAGCGUGGGUAGCAAACAGGAUUAGAUACCCCAGUAGUCCCUGUCUCUUAUAC
rnacentral:rRNA from 1 species